rnacentral:rRNA from 1 species
CCUACGGGAGGCAGCAGUGGGGAAUAUUGCACAAUUGGGGAAACCCUGAUGCAGCGACGCCGCGUGAAGGAAGAAGUAUUUCGGUAUGUAAACUUCUAUCAGCAGGGAAGAAAAUGACGGUACCUGACUAAGAAGCCCCGGCUAACUAAGUGCCAGCAGCCGCGGUAAUACGUAGGGGGCAAGAGUUAUCCGGACUUACUGGGUGGAAAGGGCGCGGAGGUUGGUUAGCAAGUCAGAAGUGAACGCCCGGGGCCCAACCCCGGGACUGCUUUUGAAACUGUUGAACUAGAUUGCAGGAGAGGUAAGUGGAAGUCCUAGUGUAGCGGUGAAAUGCGUAGAUAUUAGGAGGAACACCGGUAGCGAAGGCGGCUUGCUGGGCGGUAACUGACGUUGAGGCUCGAAAGCGUGGGGAGCAAACAGGAUUAGAUACCCUGGUAGUC